rnacentral:rRNA from 1 species
UAGGGAAUCUUCCGCAAUGGGCGAAAGCCAGACGGAGCAACGCCGCGUGAGUGAUGAAGGUCUUCGGAUCGUAAAACUCUGUUAUUAGGGAAGAACAAAUGUGUAAGUAACUAUGCACGUCUUGACGGUACCUAAUCAGAAAGCCACGGCUAACUACGUGCCAGCAGCCGCGGUAAUACGUAGGUGGCAAGCGUUAUCCGGAAUUAUUGGGCGUAAAGCGCGCGUAGGCGGUUUUUUAAGUCUGAUGUGAAAGCCCACGGCUCAACCGUGGAGGGUCAUUGGAAACUGGAAAACUUGAGUGCAGAAGAGGAAAGUGGAAUUCCAUGUGUAGCGGUGAAAUGCGCAGAGAUAUGGAGGAACACCAGUGGCGAAGGCGACUUUCUGGUCUGUAACUGACGCUGAUGUGCGAAAGCGUGGGGAUCAAACAGG